UGUCAGUUAAGAUGGCCAAUCCGAGCUGCUGAAGGCCUGCUCCUUUAUGGUUAAAGAGUCCUCCAGUUUGUAAAGGUGAAGUCAGCACUAGAACCCAAGUCCCUCUGCCUGAUUCUCCUGAAGUGACACUAUGAUAAGAAGCUUCUCUGCACAAGUGCCCACUUUGAUGACUUGUUGUACUAGCGCCUUUGAUCUCCAUCAUAGAAAAUG
rnacentral:lncRNA from 1 species